rnacentral:rRNA from 1 species
UACGGGGGGGGUAAGCGUUGUUCGGAAUUACUGGGCGUAAAGGGCUCGUAGGCGGCCAACUAAGUCAUACGUGAAAUCCCUCAGCUUAACUGGGGAACUGCGUGUGAUACUGGAUGGCUUGGAUUUGGGAGAGGGAUGCGGAAUUCCAGGUGUAGCGGUGAAAUGCGUAGAUAUCUGGAGGAACACCUAUGGCGAAGGCAGCUCGCUGGGACGUUACUGACGCUGAGACGCGAAAGCGUGGGGAGCAAACAGG